AAAUUGAAGAGUUUGAUCAUGGCUCAGAUUGAACGCUGGCGGCAGGCCUAACACAUGCAAGUCGAGCGGUAGCACAGAGAGCUUGCUCUCGGGUGACGAGCGGCGGACGGGUGAGUAAUGUCUGGGAAACUGCCUGAUGGAGGGGGAUAACUACUGGAAACGGUAGCUAAUACCGCAUAACGUCGCAAGACCAAAGUGGGGGACCUUCGGGCCUCAUGCCAUCAGAUGUGCCCAGAUGGGAUUAGCUAGUAGGUGGGGUAACGGCUCACCUAGGCGACGAUCCCUAGCUGGUCUGAGAGGAUGACCAGCCACACUGGAACUGAGACACGGUCCAGACUCCUACGGGAGGCAGCAGUGGGGAAUAUUGCACAAUGGGCGCAAGCCUGAUGCAGCCAUGCCGCGUGUGUGAAGAAGGCCUUCGGGUUGUAAAGCACUUUCAGCGGGGAGGAAGGCGGUAAGGUUAAUAACCUUGUCGAUUGACGUUACCCGCAGAAGAAGCACCGGCUAACUCCGUGCCAGCAGCCGCGGUAAUACGGAGGGUGCAAGCGUUAAUCGGAAUUACUGGGCGUAAAGCGCACGCAGGCGGUCUGUCAAGUCGGAUGUGAAAUCCCCGGGCUCAACCUGGGAACUGCAUUCGAAACUGGCAGGCUAGAGUCUUGUAGAGGGGGGUAGAAUUCCAGGUGUAGCGGUGAAAUGCGUAGAGAUCUGGAGGAAUACCGGUGGCGAAGGCGGCCCCCUGGACAAAGACUGACGCUCAGGUGCGAAAGCGUGGGGAGCAAACAGGAUUAGAUACCCUGGUAGUCCACGCCGUAAACGAUGUCGAUUUGGAGGUUGUGCCCUUGAGGCGUGGCUUCCGGAGCUAACGCGUUAAAUCGACCGCCUGGGGAGUACGGCCGCAAGGUUAAAACUCAAAUGAAUUGACGGGGGCCCGCACAAGCGGUGGAGCAUGUGGUUUAAUUCGAUGCAACGCGAAGAACCUUACCUGGUCUUGACAUCCACAGAACUUUCCAGAGAUGGAUUGGUGCCUUCGGGAACUGUGAGACAGGUGCUGCAUGGCUGUCGUCAGCUCGUGUUGUGAAAUGUUGGGUUAAGUCCCGCAACGAGCGCAACCCUUAUCCUUUGUUGCCAGCGGUUCGGCCGGGAACUCAAAGGAGACUGCCAGUGAUAAACUGGAGGAAGGUGGGGAUGACGUCAAGUCAUCAUGGCCCUUACGACCAGGGCUACACACGUGCUACAAUGGCAUAUACAAAGAGAAGCGACCUCGCGAGAGCAAGCGGACCUCAUAAAGUAUGUCGUAGUCCGGAUUGGAGUCUGCAACUCGACUCCAUGAAGUCGGAAUCGCUAGUAAUCGUAGAUCAGAAUGCUACGGUGAAUACGUUCCCGGGCCUUGUACACACCGCCCGUCACACCAUGGGAGUGGGUUGCAAAAGAAGUAGGUAGCUUAACCUUCGGGAGGGCGCUUACCACUUUGUGAUUCAUGACUGGGGUGAAGUCGUAACAAGGUAACCGUAGGGGAACCUGCGGUUGGAUCACCUCCUUA
rnacentral:rRNA from 1 species